AUGACAUCUCUGCCAGCCAUCUUCAUCCUCCUGCUCCUGGUUUGUUCCUGCAACUCCGAUGACCACCUAACACCCACACAGCCACUCUCACCCGACGACGAGCUCAUCUCAAGCAACGGCGUCUUCGCCCUCGGCUUCUUCUCCCUGCAAAGCUCCAUCGCCAACACAUAUUUAGGCAUAUGGUACCACAACAUCUCAGAGCGAACAUAUGUGUGGGUGGCCAAUCGCGACAACCCGAUCACGAGCAGUUUGUCUGGGAAGCUGGUUGUGACCAACACCUCUGACCUCGUCUUGUCAGAUUCCAACGGCCGUAUCCUCUGGACGACCAGGACGAAGACGGACAACAUCACCACCGAGUCAGGUGACAUACCCACGGCGGUGCUGCUCGACACCGGCAACUUCGUCCUCCUGUCGCCGAAGGGAACGGAUAUAUGGCGGAGCUACGAUGACCCGACCGACACCGUCCUCCCGGGCUUCAAGCUGUGGACGAACUACAAGACCCACGUAGCAGUGCGCAUCGUGGCCUGGAAGAGCUCCCAUGACCCGUCGACCGGGGAAUUCGUCCUCAGCGGCGACCCCAGCACGGGCCUCCAGAUCCUCACCUGGCGUGGGAAGAGCCUCUACUGGCGCAGCGGGGUGUGGAACGGCGCCACGGCCUCCGGCCUCACCAAUUCCUUCUGGUCCCAGGUCAUCGACGACGGAGAGGUGAUCUACUCCACGUACAACACGGCCGACGGCUCGCCGAUCAGAUCGCACUGGAAGCUGGAUUACACGGGCGACGUGGUGUUCAGGGUCUGGAUCGAUGGGUCGUCGUCGUGGAAGCCCCUGUUCAAGCGCCCGGGCAACGGGUGCCUCCACUACGGCUCGUGCGGGCCGUUCGGCUACUGCGACAUCACGGGUGCCGUCUGGGAGUGCAGAUGCCUCGACGGGUUCGAGCCGGCCCACGGCUUCAGCGUCAACUCCUCCAAAGGGUGCGUGAGGAAGGAGGCGCUGAGAUGUGGCGGCGACGACCACUUCCUGACCUUGCCGGGGAUGAAGGUGCCCGACAAGUUCGUGUACCUGAGGAACAGGAGCUUCGAGGAGUGCGCCGCCGAGUGCGGCCGCAACUGCUCGUGCACGGCAUACGCCUACGCCAACUUGAGCAGUAUCCUCGCGACGGGUAACCAGUCGAGGUGCUUGGUCUGGAAAGGGGAGCUUGUCGACUCGGAGAAGGCCGGCGACGAUAUUAGUGGUGACAACUUAUACGUCCGGCUCGCCGGCUCUGCUGCCGCAUUUUCCUUAUUUUUUUUUCGAUAUUUGAAUGAACUGCUCCGAUUUCUUUUGCUUCACAAAUUCUGGCCAAUCAUGUUUCAGUUUCUCAUAUUGUCCUUUGAAAUCCGGAGCAUACAACGAAACAAGGAACCCCUGCGAAGAUCGGACCUGCUGCAGGUACACCUGAGCACUUCGCAAGAAGUUUGGGAUCCAAGUUUGGAAUUUCAGUGCAUAUUGUUAAAAGACAUUGACACUGCAACGAAUAGUUUCCAUGACACCAACGUGCUUGGAAAAGGAGGUUUUGGAAAAGUUUAUAAGGGAACAUUGCAUGAUGGCAAGGAAGUUGCGGUUAAAAGGCUUAGCAAGGGAUCUGAGCAGGGGGUAGAGCAUUUUAGAAACGAAGUUGUUCUUAUUGCCAAGUUGCAGCACAAGAAUCUUGUUAGACUCCUUGGCUAUUUUAUUCAUGAGGAUGAGAAGUUGCUUAUUUACGAAUACAUGCCCAACAAAAGUCUAGACAAAUUUCUUUUUGAUAAUACAAGAAAAUCUAUGCUUGAUUGGCAAAGAAGGUUCAGCAUAAUCAAAGGGGUAGCUAGAGGACUACUAUAUCUCCACCAAGAUUCGAGAAUGACAAUAAUUCACAGAGACCUCAAACCAAGCAACAUUCUGCUGGACAUGGAGAUGAACCCGAAAAUAUCAGAUUUUGGAAUGGCAAGGAUCUUUGGAGGCAGCGAGCAACAAGAAAGUACCAAACGAGUUGUUGGGACAUAUGGUUACAUGUCACCUGAAUAUGCGAUGGAGGGUAUCUUUUCGGUGAAGUCCGACACCUAUAGCUUUGGUAUUUUGCUGCUGGAGAUUGUGAGCGGAUUAAAGAUCAGCUCACCUCAUCAUCUUGUAAUGGAUUUCCGAAACGUCAUAGCAUGUGCGUGGAAUUUGUGGAAAGAUGGAAAAGCAAGGGAUUUCCUGGACUCGACGGUCACAGAAAACUAUUCCCUUGAUGAAGUGUCGAAAUGCAUCCACGUCGGACUCCUAUGUGUCCAGGACGGCUCCAGUGCUAGGCCACACAUGUCAUCGGUCGUAUCCAUGCUGGACAGUGAAGCCAUGCCACGUGUAAUGCCGAAGCAACCUAUGUAUUUCGCACAGCUAAAUUACGAAGUCGAGGAAGGGCGAGAAGGCUUGGAAAACUCCGUCAAUGGCGCAAGCUUUACGACACUAGAAGGCCGCUGA
rnacentral:rRNA from 1 species